GAUGAACGCUGGCGGCGUGCCUAAUACAUGCAAGUCGAGCGAACAGACGAGAAGCUUGCUUUUCUGAUGUUAGCGGCGGACGGGUGAGUAACACGUGGAUAACCUACCUAUAAGACUGGGAUAACUUCGGGAAACCGGAGCUAAUACCGGAUAAUAUUUUGAACCGCAUGGUUCAAAAGUGAAAGACGGUCUUGCUGUCACUUAUAGAUGGAUCCGCGCUGCAUUAGCUAGUUGGUAAGGUAACGGCUUACCAAGGCAACGAUGCAUAGCCGACCUGAGAGAGUGAUCGGCCACACUGGAACUGAGACACGGUCCAGACUCCUACGGGAGGCAGCAGUAGGGAAUCUUCCGCAAUGGGCGAAAGCCUGACGGAGCAACGCCGCGUGAGUGAUGAAGGUCUUCGGAUCGUAAAACUCUGUUAUUAGGGAAGAACAUAUGUGUAAGUAACUGUGCACAUCUUGACGGUACCUAAUCAGAAAGCCACGGCUAACUACGUG
rnacentral:rRNA from 1 species